GAACGUAGUUCAAUGGCAAAACACUAGCUUCCCAAGCUGGAUUUGCGGGUUCGAUUCCCGUCGUUC
rnacentral:tRNA from 1 species